rnacentral:tmRNA from 1 species
GGGGCUGAUUCUGGAUUCGACGGGAUUUGCGAAACCCAAGGUGCAUGCCGAGGGGCGGUUGGCCUCGUAAAAAGCCGCAAAAAAUAGUCGCAAACGACGAAAACUACGCUUUAGCAGCUUAAUAACCUGCUUAGAGCCCUCUCUCCCUAGCCUCCGCUCUUAGGACGGGGAUCAAGAGAGGUCAAACCCAAAAGAGAUCGCGUGGAAGCCCUGCCUGGGGUUGAAGCGUUAAAACUUAAUCAGGCUAGUUUGUUAGUGGCGUGUCCGUCCGCAGCUGGCAAGCGAAUGUAAAGACUGACUAAGCAUGUAGUACCGAGGAUGUAGGAAUUUCGGACGCGGGUUCAACUCCCGCCAGCGCCACCA